ensembl:lncRNA
GUGUAUUUGCGACCACAUACAUAACAUCUGGAUAUAUUAGAACCAUUUUGUUGUUGUUGUUGUGAUGAAAGUGAUUAAAAACCCCAUUCAAAGCUAACUAAGAAAAGAAAAGAAAAGACUUCCUCGUGGUCCCGUGAUUAAGGCUUUGUGCUCCCAAUGCAGGGAGUCCAUGUUCGAUCACUACUCAGAAAACUCAAUCCCACGUGCCACAAUUAAGAACCCACAUGAUGCAGUGCAGCCAAAUAAAUUAAAAAAGCAAAAGAAAAGGUAAGCCUGACUUUAGGCAGAGCUGGGCUCAGAGAGGUAGGAGAUGUACGAGAAUUUGGUGUGUUUAACUCACUCUGCACCUCUCAGCUCUGUUUUAUUCUAAGAAUUUUUUCACAUGGAGCAAAGGAGUCCUAUAUAUAGACACAGGAGCCAGAAGAAUUCCAGUUUCCCACGUUUCACAGCACCUGUGAUCCUAAGAGGCCUGGUUUCUGCCAGCACCUGUGUCAAUUCCUGAAAAAGGACUCUGUGUGUCUCAUCCCCAAACCAGUCAUUCCGGCCACGGAGAUGCAGUAUUGUUACUGACCAGGCUGGGGACACCGUGGCUGCCCAACCCCAAGAGCCAAGGUGAGGCGAGCUUUCAGUUUCCAGAGCCACAGAGACUGAGAAGGAGCAAGGAGUCAUUUCCCAAACAGAUGGCAGGCAGACAAAAAUAACAGAGCAUAUCCAGCUACUUCCUCUCCAUAAGAUCCUCAUGGACUGAUUUUGAUCAUGGAAAGAGUCUCUGAAAUCAGCCCCCUCUGAUCUCUGCCUCCUGGUAUUACAUUGUUCUAUGAUCCCCUCCCUUCCACGUGGGCUGGAUUGAGUGACUCACUUCUAGAGAAGACAAUCUGGUGGAGGCGAUGGUGUCAGUUCUGAGACUGGGUGAUGAAGGACUGCAGAUUCCAUCUUGGUGGCCCCAACUUUUGCUGCCUAUCUCUUGCCUGGUUCCCUUGGGGAAGCUGGCGACCAUGUUGUCAGUCAGCCCCUAUGCAGAGGCUCAGGUAAAGUCUACUCCUGCUGCUGCUUCUAAGUCGCUUCAGUCGUGUCCGACUCUGCGCGACCCCAUAGACGGCAGCACACCAGGCUCCUCUGUCCAUGGGAUUUUCCAGGCAAGGACACUGGAGUGGGUUGCCAUUGCCUUCUCCGAGGUGGAAGAAGUUAACUCUACUGUGAUCAGACUGUAGCCACAACAUAAGCUGCAACAGUUCUGAGAAUUGGCCUCAAAGAAAUGGGAACCCAGGAACUAAAGAUUUGCUGUACUUAAAAUGAUCAAGAAGAAACUGGUCAGACCACUGAUGACCGAUUUCAAGAUGAUCAUCACCACUGACUGUGUCGUUUCUACAUGGAGCCCCCUCCCUCCACCUGUAAAAGCUCUUGCCCGCUGGUUGUCAGGUGGGGGGAGUCAGCCUUUGGGCCUUCGUCCCCCUGCCUCACCAGUUUGCCAGCAUCCAAAAUAAAGCAAGCUUUCCUUUCCACCAACCUUGCCUCUUUAUUGGCUUUUGAGCAGUGAGCAGCUAGGCCCCACUUUUUAUUACAGUGUCUGCAGGGUUAGAUGUUCUGCUGUCUGUAGGAUCUGGAGCAG